AUUGAACGCUGGCGGCAGGCCUAACACAUGCAAGUCGAACGGUAACAGGAAGCAGCUUGCUGCUUCGCUGACGAGUGGCGGCCGGGUGAGUAAUGUCUGGGACACUGCCUGAUGGAGGGGGAUAACUACUGGAAACGGUAGCUAAUACCGCAUAACGUCGCAAGACCAAAGAGGGGGACCUUAGGGCCUCUUGCCAUCGGAUGUGCCCAGAUGGGAUUAGCUAGUAGGUGGGGUAACGGCUCACCUAGGCGACGAUCCCUAGCUGGUCUGAGAGGAUGACCAGCCACACUGGAACUGAGACACGGUCCAGACUCCUACGGGAGGCAGCAGUGGGGAAUAUUGCACAAUGGGCGCAAGCCUGAUGCAGCCAUGCCGCGUGUAUGAAGAAGGCCUUCGGGUUGUAAAGUACUUUCAGCGGGGAGGAAGGGAGUAAAGUUAAUACCUUGGCUCAUUGACGUUACCCGCAGAAGAAGCACCGGCUAACUCCGUG
rnacentral:rRNA from 1 species